GAAUAUUGGACAAUGGGCGCAAGCCUGAUCCAGCAAUGCCGCGUGAGUGAAGAAGGCCUUCGGGUUGUAAAGCUCUUUUGUAGGGGAGGAAGGAAGUUUACUGAAUAAGUGAGCUUUUUGACGUUACCCUAAGAAUAAGCACCGGCUAACUCCGUGCCAGCAGCCGCGGUAAUACGGAGGGUGCAAGCGUUAUCCGGAUUUACUGGGUUUAAAGGGUGUGUAGGCGGAUAUUUAAGUCAGAGGUGAAAUCUCCGGGCUCAACCCGGAAACUGCCUUUGAUACUAUUUAUCUUGAAUUUCGUUGAGGUUGGCGGAAUAUAUCAUGUAGCGGUGAAAUGCAUAGAUAUGAUAUAGAACACCGAUUGCGUAGGCAGCUGGCUGAACGAACAUUGACGCUGAGGCACGAAAGCGUGGGUAGCGAAC
rnacentral:rRNA from 1 species